GCCGGGCGUGGUGGCAGGCGCCUGUAAUCCCAGCUACUUGGGAGGCUGAGGCAGGGGAAUCGCUUGAACCCAGGAGGUGGAGGUUCAGUGAGCCGAGAUGACGCUACUGCGCCACUGUACUCCAGCCUGGGUGACAGAGUAAGACUCUGUCUCAA
rnacentral:SRP_RNA from 2 species